rnacentral:lncRNA from 1 species
UUGUUAUUUUAUUAUUAUUUUUAUUUAUUAGUAAACAUUCUAUUAAUUUUGUGUAUUAGUAUCGAUGUGGAGGGAGUUGAGGAUUAUAAAUUAACUGCUUGAGAGACGUAAUCAUGUAGCCACGAAGGGAGCUCUUGGUUCUUGUGCUUCACUGCGUAUUUUAAUUUUAUGCUUUGUACUUUGGAGAUGACCUACUCAAUCUUCCACAAUGAGCCAACCCGAAGGAUUCAGUCUUGCCUCAAAGUUCAUCCAGAUCUCUUCCUCCGCCAUCUUAAGGAUCGAGGAUCUCCUCGUGACUUGUUUGUAAAAAUACAGGACGGUCCUAAUCUAUACCUCAACCAUUUUUGACGUGUAUGAGAUAAUGGAUUCUUCAAAAUGAGGUUUGGAUCCGCAUGUUCCAUACCAUCGCUAAUACCAAACCAUUGGAACCUUCACCUUGCGAUAGAUGAAGGGUCCUUAUCUUCAAGACCAAUACUAAUACUUAUUCAACGCAAGGCUCCCGUCUGACAUAUAUUGACCUGCAGAAGUAAUCCUUGUAUUACUAAGGAACUCACUCCUACUGUUCAAUCGAGGAUUAUUAUUCAGUGGUUCGUUUGAACCUCAUAAACGGAGGACAUUUUCAAUGGUAGAGCUUCAUACAGAGCAUAUCUCCCUCCAAUGAUUACCCGAUCUUUUCACCACUCCAAACAUUUCAGAUGGACCCAUAAAGAUCCGUUCAGCAAAUUGACCACCAAUCCUUUGUAUGAUUUUUUUAUUUGAAUUUCCCAAAAAUCACAAGAGCUCCAGAGUAGUUUUAACCACGAGAGAUUCAGCGCCUUCCACAUACCUUCUAUGUCUGUAGAACCAAGACCCCAUCGAGUUGUUGGGGCAUUUAUCCUCGACCCUGAAACGGACGUAUCUCAACAAAUGGAACGUUUUUGAGAGGAUAUUGAUAUCCCAGGCCUUCACUUUUUCAUAUCUGGAUCGGCACUGCAGCUAGAAACUUUCAUUCAUAUAUGAGAAA